GCAAGUCGAGCGAGAAGCUUCUUUCGGGAAGUGGAGAGCGGCGGACGGGUUAGUAACGCGUGGGAACAUGCCCUAAAGUCUGGGAUAACUAUUAGAAAUGAUAGCUAAUACCGGAUGGUCCCUUCGGGGUAAAGCUUUAGCGCUUUAGGAUUGGCCCGCGUAAGAUUAGCUUGUUGGUGAGGUAAGAGCUCACCAAGGCGACGAUCUCUAGCUGGUCUGAGAGGAUGAUC
rnacentral:rRNA from 1 species